ACAUGCCUACAUCAUAGCAUUAAUGCAUUGGAUCCCAUUAGAAAUUUGUAGUUAAGUGUGCUCAAGAUAGACUAGUACUGGGAAGGGUGAUCAUUCGUGAAGUCCUAAUGUUUUACAUGCC
rnacentral:rRNA from 1 species